rnacentral:rRNA from 1 species
UACAGAGGGUGCAAGCGUUGUUCGGAAUUAUUGGGCGUAAAGGGUGCGUAGGCGGUGCGGUAAGUCUGUUGUGAAAUCUCCGGGCUCAACUCGGAGUCUGCAACGGAAACUGCCGUGCUUGAGUAUGGGAGAGGUGAGUGGAAUUCCCAAUGUAGCGGUGAAAUGCGUAGAUAUCGGGAGGAACACCUGUGGCGAAAGCGGCUCACUGGACCAUUACUGACGCUGAUGCACGAAAGCUAGGGGAGCAAACAGG